rnacentral:misc_RNA from 1 species
CGUUAGUAUGUUCAAUUGCGGCGAGUUUCUAGUAAUUGUAAUAAUAAUGGAAGUAUAUUUUUAUUGCAGUCAUAGAUUAUAUGUUAUUACAAGAAGAAACUCACCGCAAUUCGACGUAUCGUUUUUUUGAAUGACAAUUGUGUAGCUGGCAAUGACUGAGCUUACUGUAAUUCUUCAUAUAUGUAUGUAUCUACAUAUACAUAUACAUAUAUAUAUAUGUUUCGGAAGCUUUACAUGUUCCGAGUCAGUAAUUAAAUAAGUCGCUAAGUGACUUAACUCCACUACUUUGCACGGAAAACUCUCUAGGUGUUUACUCUAACGAGUCGCUUAUAAUGUAAUGGAGUUUCUUCUAUUUCCGUUCCGCUGUGGAUUUGCAUGCGUUGCAAUGCGUAGCUAAUAAUUGCUAGACGUAGAGACAUAUACUAUGUAAAUCAAUUAUUACCCAUUCAAUGU